ensembl:snRNA U6 U6 spliceosomal RNA
AUGUUUGCUUCAGCAGCAUGUAUACUAAAAUUGGAACAACCCAGAGAAGAUUAGCAUGGACCCUGCACAAGGAUGACAUACAAACUCAUGAAAUGUUCCAUAUUGUU